rnacentral:misc_RNA from 1 species
AACGCACAUUGCGCCCUUUGGUAUUCCGAGGGGCAUGCCUGUUCGAGCGUCAUUUCAACUCUCAAGCUUAUGCUUGGUAUUGGGUGUCGUCCUGCCUAUACAUUAGGCGGGACUCGCCUGAAACUCAUGGGCGGUAGUUCAUUACACCGAGCGUAGUCAAAUCUUUACCUCGCUCUUGGACGUUUUGUUAACUGACCUGCCUAAUAACCCCCCCUAAAUAUUCAAAGUUUGACCUCGGAUCAGGUAGGGAUACCCGCUGAACUUAA